rnacentral:rRNA from 1 species
CAAAUUUAAAAUCUACCUGGUUUCCAGGUCGAGUUGUAAUUUGAAGAUACGUUUUUGACGUUCCGGGUUGAACUAAAUCCUUUGGGAUAAGGUAUCAUGGAGGGUGAGAAUCCCGUAUAUACCAACCRUAGGGAUGUUAUUUAAUACSUUUCUAAGAGUCSAGUUGUUUGGGAAUGCAGCUCUAAAUGGGUGGUAAAUUUCACCUAAUGCUAAAUAUAAGCSAGAGACCGAUAGCGAACAAGUACAGUGAUGGAAAGAUGAAAAGAACUUUGAAAAGAGAGUUAAAUAGUAYGUGAAAUUGUUGAAAGGGAAACGAUUGAAGUCAGUCAUGCCVGUGGGAAUCAACUUWGAGGAAACUCUGAGUGCACUUYUUCSCUUGGCAGGUCAACGUCSAUUUUGGAUGUCAUAAAAUGAUUGGGGGAAGGUAGCYCYYUCGGGAGUGUUAUAGCCCUUGGUAGAUGUGAUGUCUGGGAUCGAGGAUUGCAAUGGAUACCCUUUGGGGCUAGCCGCCUGAUCUCUAAUYGGUAUUGGGUUACGGAUAGCAUGCUGACCGUGAUCUAAUUAUUGGUUAAAAGGUUAG